rnacentral:rRNA from 1 species
AGGGUUUGAUUAUGGCUCAGGAUGAACGCUGGCGGCGUGCCUAACACAUGCAAGUCGAACGGAGUUAUUUUGGAAAUCUCUUCGGAGAUGGAAUCUUUAACUUAGUGGCGGACGGGUGAGUAACGCGUGAGCAAUCUGCCUUUAAGAGGGGGAUAACAGUCGGAAACGGCUGCUAAUACCGCAUAAAGCAUCAAAUUCGCAUGUUUUUGAUGCCAAAGGAGCAAUCCGCUUUUAGAUGAGCUCGCGUCUGAUUAGCUAGUUGGCGGGGUAACGGCCCACCAAGGCGACGAUCAGUAGCCGGACUGAGAGGUUGAACGGCCACAUUGGGACUGAGACACGGCCCAG